CCCGCAACGAGCGCAACCCUUUUCCUUACUUGCCAGCAUUUCGGAUGGGAACUUUAAGGAUACUGCCAGUGACAAACUGGAGGAAGGCGGGGACGACGUCAAGUCAUCAUGGCCCUUACGGCCAGGGCUACACACGUGCUACAAUGGUCGGUACAAAGGGUUGCUACCUAGCGAUAGGAUGCUAAUCUCAAAAAGCCGAUCGUAGUCCGGAUUGGAGUCUGCAACUCGACUCCAUGAAGUCGGAAUCGCUAGUAAUCGCGGAUCAGAAUGCCGCGGUGAAUACGUU
rnacentral:rRNA from 1 species